rnacentral:rRNA from 1 species
UCAGCAUACUGCCGUGAAUACGUUCCCGGGCCUUGUACACACCGCCCGUCCACACCAUGAGAGUUGGGAAUACCCGAAGCCUGUGAGCUAACUUUUAGAGGCAGCAGUCGAAGGUAGAAUCAAUGAUUGGGGUGAAGUCGUAACAAGGUAUC